CAAGUCGAACGGGCUCUUCGGAGCUAGUGGCGGACGGGUGAGUAAUACAUAGGAAAUCUGCCUUUAAGUGGGGGACAACAAUCCGAAAGGGUUGCUAAUACCGCGUAAUGUCAUUAGUUGAAAUGCUAGUGAAGAAUGACUUAUCGCUUUUAGAGGAGCCUAUGCUUGAUUAGCUAGUUGGUGGGGUAAAGGCCUACCAAGGCUACGAUCAAUAGCUGGUCUGAGAGGACGAUCAGCCACACUGGGACUGAGACACGGCCCAGACUUCUACGGAAGGCAGCAGUGGGGAAUUUUCCGCAAUGGGCGCAAGCCUGACGGAGCGACGCCGCGUAUGGGAUGAAGUAUUUCGGUAUGUAAACCAUUGUCAGUGGGGACGAAACAAAUGACGGUACCCACAGAGGAAGCAUCGGCUAACUACGUGCCAGCAGCCGCGGUAAUACGUAGGAUGCAAGCGUUGUUCGGAAUUACUGGGCGUAAAGAGUACGUAGGCGGUUUGACAAGUCUGAAAUUAAAGACUGGGGCUUAACCUCAGGAAUGUAUCGGAAACUGUCAGACUAGAGGACAAUAGAGGAAGUCGGAAUUCUCAGUGUAGCGGUGAAAUGCGUAGAUAUUGGGAAGAACACCAGUGGCGAAAGCGGACUUCUGGGUUGUUACUGACGCUGAGGUACGAAAGCGUGGGGAGCAAACGGGAUUAGAUACCCCGGUAGUCCACGCUGUAAACGAUGGAUACUAGGUGUAGCCGGUCUCGACCCCGGCUGUGCCGUAGCUAACGCAAUAAGUAUCCCGCCUGGGGAGUAUGGCCGCAAGGUUGAAACUCAAAGGAAUUGACGGGGGCCCGCACAAGCGGUGGAGGAUGUGGUUUAAUUCGACGCACCGCGAAGAACCUUACCAAGGCUUGACAUC
rnacentral:rRNA from 1 species